UGCCUCACGUAUCACUAUGAAUACAGUAAAAUUAAAGAAGGUAACUCAAGAUGUGCUUCGGUAUUCAUCUUAACUCAACGUUGUCACUCCUUCGUUUGUCAUGAUUUACCAUUUAUUAUUCAACUUCCUUAUGUCCUGCACUGAACGGCGUCUGUAGGUGCACAAGUAGCAUAGAAUCAAAGGAUAAAUGUAUUUUAAAAUGUUUGUUUUGCAGAAAAAUCUACUCAAAGCUCGAAAAUUUGUUCGAAAUCUGUAUCCGAACUCUGAUACAUUCAUCUCUCCCAUCACGCGCACCAGUCAGUCACCACGGCGGCGCGGCGGCGGAUGUAUGACGCUUGUUUGUGUUAAAAAUUACCUUUCCAAUAUUCAAUUUUCCGUUCACUUGCAAAAUUUGACUAUGUUAGUGACAGUGAUUCCAAUUGCAGUAAUAAACAAUGCUGUGUCUCGAAAGCAGCAGGCUACCCGAGAGAAAAGUGUGUGGUCAGCGAGAGGAGGAAGGCAGGCAUCCCUUAUGGCCGCAGCAAUUGGACGCCGCGGACACCAGUGCAGGGUGUCCACGAGAGAGCUCGGACUCUAGAAGGAUGAUGUUGCUACGUACGCCACAGGAUUAGUGUCCGAAAGCGACGUUGACACCUACAGCAAGAGCUUCCACGAAAUCAUGCGCACCGCCAGCUACUUGAGGCCAGGCUGUGAGGUGCUCCCAUUACCAAGAGUGUGCCUGCCAGUGUGUCCCCAGCUGCACCUUUAGACCUCUGAAAGGAACACGCUGUCGAGGGAUAUACGCGGGGUUAAGAGCACGGCCAGGGGCAACACUGCAUCUCUCACGUACGGAUGCUUUGCGUUUUGUCUUCAGUCUUCCCGCACAACUUCUCUCAUAUUUCUUUCGAUGCACAUUUCCGCGAAAACUGAUAUGACGAUAUUUUUGAUUGACGAAAGCUUAUAUGAUCUAUUGACUGCGCGUGUUUUUUUUUUUUCAGUUCUGUGUGUGUGUGUGUGUGUGUGUGUGUGUGUGUGUUAAACAUCUUAAGCAUCCCACAUUGACAAGUUCGAUCCGUCACGCUUCAUGUGCCGGAAGAGCUUCAAGCCGCGAUGACGUUGCUUUAAGGGACGCGGAGAGGCAUGUUUCCUGCUGGGGGAAGAGCCGGGGCGGCACGCGGUCCUGAGGCUUCAGGCGUGAUGGAAACGAGGACCAGGAAGUGGCGAAUCCCAUAGACGUGGUGGUGGCGUGUGAGCGUGAGGAACGUGGUGGAUAGACGUGCUGCGGGCACAGUGGGGAUCGGUUGACUACCAAGAGCAAAAUAUCAGCUUCAAACGCUGAAAUAUUCAGAGUGGUGGCGGUGAGGGGCCAGGCUGUUCCAGGGUCACACUUCAGCCACGGGCGUUACUGCCAGGGUAAGGAGGCGUCGGCCGUUUCCUACGGCACGUGCCCCGUGGGACGCCUUCACCCCAAUGCUUUGGUGCCAGAGGGGCCAAGGAUGACUCCAGAAAAGGGAUACGUCGUGACGCACAAAACUGACCAUUCCUGGUGCGAGGUGCAGUUGCUAUCAAAACGCAUGCGUGAAAUACAUAAGUUACUAUCUCUUGUGAGCAUUAUUGGGCUUGUAUGUAGAUUGUUCCCGUAAAGAACAAGUAAAAGCGCGCCAUUGUUGUGCACGGGUAGCGCGCAACAGGUGUGCUGAGUUUGACUUCUUGCCCACAGCAGAAGCUCCCGCGGCUUGGCGAGGAACAUUUUGUGGUGAGACAAACAGACAGAAA